GACGAGCGCUGGCGGCGUGCUUAACACAUGCAAGUCGAACGGAAAGGCCCUGCUUUUGUGGGGUGCUCGAGUGGCGAACGGGUGAGUAACACGUGAGUAACCUGCCCUUGACUUUGGGAUAACUUCAGGAAACUGGGGCUAAUACCGGAUAGGAGCUCCUGCUGCAUGGUGGGGGUUGGAAAGUUUCGGCGGUUGGGGAUGGACUCGCGGCUUAUCAGCUUGUUGGUGGGGUAGUGGCUUACCAAGGCUUUGACGGGUAGCCGGCCUGGGAGGGUGACCGGCCAACUGGGGAUGGGAGUCCGGCCAAAGCCCCUAGGGGGGGCAGCGGGGGGGAAUAUUGAAAAAUGGGCGGAAGCCUGAUGCAGCAACGCCGGGGGGGGGAUGACGGCCUUCGGGUUGUAAACCGCUUUCGCCUGGGACGAAGGGUGGGUGACGGUAAUGGGGAAAGAAGCCCCGGCAAACUACGG
rnacentral:rRNA from 1 species